AGAGUUGAUCCUGGCUUAGGAUGAACGCUAGCUACAGGCUUAACACAUGCAAGUCGAGGGGCAGCGGGAAGUUAGCUUGCUAACUUGCCGGCGACCGGCGGACGGGUGAGUAACGCGUGAGCAACCUGUCCCAGACAGGGGGAUAACACUUGGAAACAGGUGCUAAUACCGCAUAAGACCACGAAAUCACAUGAUUUAGGGGUAAAAGGAGCAAUCCGGUUUGGGGUGGGCUCGCGUCCGAUUAGAUAGUUGGUGAGGUAACGGCCCACCAAGUCGACGAUCGGUAGCCGACCUGAGAGGGUGAUCGGCCACAUUGGAACUGAGAGACGGUCCAAACUCCUACGGGAGGCAGCAGUGGGGAAUAUUGGGCAAUGGGCCGAAAGCCUGACCCAGCAACGCCGCGUGAGUGAAGAAGGCCUUCGGGUUGUAAAGCUCUGUUAUAGGGGACGAAGGAAGUGACGGUACCCUAUAAGGAAGCCCCGGCUAACUACGUGCCAGCCGCGGC
rnacentral:rRNA from 1 species